rnacentral:rRNA from 1 species
CCAGACUCCUACGGGAGGCAGCAGUGGGGAAUAUUGGGCAAUGGACGCAAGUCUGACCCAGCAACGCCGCGUGAAGGAAGAAGGCUUUCGGGUUGUAAACUUCUUUUAAGGGGGAAGAGCAGAAGACGGUACCCCUUGAAUAAGCCCCGGCUAACUACGUGCCAGCAGCCGCGGUAAUACGUAGGGGGCAAGCGUUAUCCGGAUUUACUGGGUGUAAAGGGAGCGUAGGCGGUGCAGCAAGUCAGAAGUGAAAGCCCGGGGCUCAACCUUGGGACUGCUUUUGAAACUGAGUAGCUAGAGUGCAGGAGAGGUAAGCGGAAUUCCUAGUGUAGCGGUGAAAUGCGUAGAUAUUAGGAGGAACACCAGUGGCGAAGGCGGCUUACUGGACUGUAACUGACGUUGAGGCUCGAAAGCGUGGGGAGCAAACAGGAUUAGAUACCCCUGUA